ensembl:snRNA U6 U6 spliceosomal RNA
GUGCUUGCUUGGGCAGCACAGGCACUAAAAUUAGAAUGAUACAGAGAAGAUUAACAUGGCUCUCGUGCGAUGUUGACAUGCAAAUUCAUGAAGCAUUCCGUAUUUUC